GUCGACGUGAGAGGGUACUUGUAUCCUUGAAAGUGGCGGACGGGUGAGUAAGACGUAGGUGACCUGCCUCGAAGUGGGGGAUAACCAUUGGAAACGGUGGCUAAUACCGCAUGAGCUGGUGAAGAUGGGAAUCUUUAUCAGGAAAGGUUUACUGCUUUGAGAGGGGCCUACGGCCGAUUAGCUAGUUGGUGAGGUAAAGGCUCACCAAGGCGAUGAUCGGUAGCUGGUCUGAGAGGACGAUCAGCCACACGGGAACUGAGACACGGUCCCGACUCCUACGGGGGGCAGCAGUGAGGAAUAUUCGGCAAUGGGGGCAACCCUGACCGAGCAACGCCGCGUGGAGGAUGACGGUUUUUGGAUUGUAAACUCCUUUUCUCAGGGAAGAGUGAGGACGGUACCUGAGGAAUAAGUCACGGCUAACUACGUGCCAGCAGCCGCGGUAAUACGUAGGUGGCAAGCGUUAUCCGGAAUUACUGGGCGUAAAGCGCACGCAGGCGGUUGGAUAAGAUUGACGUGAAAGCUUCUGGCUUAACCGGAAGAAGUCGUUGAUGACUGUCCGACUUGAGACGAGGAGAGGGGUGCAGAAUUCCCGGUGUAGUGGUGGAAUGCGUAGAGAUCGGGAGGAAUACCAGUGGCGAAAGCGGCACCCUGGCCUUAGUCUGACGCUCAGGUGCGAAAGCGUGGGGAGCGAACGGGAUUAGAUACCCCGGUAGUCCACGCCAUAAACGAUGAACACCAGGUGUAGGUGGUGUCAAAACCAUCGGUACCGUAGCUAACGCGAUAAGUGUUCCGCCUGGGGAGUACGACCGCAAGGUUAAAACUCAAAGGAAUUGACGG
rnacentral:rRNA from 1 species